UACAGAGGGGGCAAGCGUUAUUCGGAAUUACUGGGCGUAAAGCGCACGUAGGCGGAUUGUUAAGUCGGGGGUGAAAUCCUGGAGCUCAACUCCAGAACUGCCUUCGAUACUGGCGAUCUAGAGUCCGGGAGAGGUGAGUGGAACUGCGAGUGUAGAGGUGAAAUUCGUAGAUAUUCGCAAGAACACCAGUGGCGAAGGCGGCUCACUGGCCCGGUACUGACGCUGAGGUGCGAAAGCGUGGGGAGCAAACAGG
rnacentral:rRNA from 1 species